rnacentral:rRNA from 1 species
CCCUUAGAUGUUCUGGGCAGCGCGCGCUACAAUGGUCUUCGCAAACGGAUGCAUUCUCGAAGGAGAAUGCCAAUCUUGGAAUCUAUGCCUUGGUCGGGACAGUUGCUUGCAAUUUUUCGACUCGAACCAGGAAUUCCUUGUAAUCGUGAUUCAUCACAUCACGAUGAAUACGUCCCUGCCCUUUGUACACACCGCCCGUCGCUCCUACCGAUCGAAGAGUUAGGUGAAUUGUUUUGAUCGAUAAGAUUUGACUAUGGUCAACUCUCGUUGUGAAAUUCUGUGAAUCUGACUGUUUAGAGGAAGGAAAAGUCGUAACA